CCUACGGGUGGCAGCAGUGGGGAAUAUUGCGCAAUGGGCGAAAGCCUGACGCAGCGACGCCGCGUGAGGGAUGAAGGUCUUCGGAUCGUAAACCUCUGUCAGCAGGGAAGAACGGUCACUGUGCUAAUCAGCAGUGAAUUGACGGUACCUGCAAAGGAAGCCCCGGAUAACUCCGUGCCAGCAGCCGCGGUAAUACGGAGGGGGCGAGCGUUGAUCGGAAUUAUUGGGCGUAAAGGGCUCGUAGGCGGUAUGUCAAGUCAAGGGUGAAAUCCCCGCGCUCAACGUGGGAACUGCCUUUGAAACUGGCAAACUGGAGUGUGUGAGAGGAUAGUGGAAUUCGAGGUGUAGGAGUGAAAUCCGUAGAUAUCUGGAGGAACAUCAGUGGCGAAGGCGACUAUCUGGCACAUAACUGACGCUGAGGAGCGAAAGCGUGGGUAGCAAACAGGAUUAGAUACCCCGGUAGUC
rnacentral:rRNA from 1 species